GCCACUUGGCUGCCGAGACUGAAAACUAAGUCCCAUCCUAGGCACUCAAGGGGUAGAAGGAGAGAACCGACUCCAACAAGCUGACCCCUGACCUCCACGUGUGUGCCGUGGUACUGGUAUACAUGCAAAUAAUAACUGAAGGGACACUAGCCCGCUGGAGCAUGUGGCUCUGGCAGGCCUUGCCCUUUGCCCCCUUCCCUCUGCCUUGCUAAAUGCCAUUAGAUUACAUCCUCCUGGGGCUCACUGCCAAGGUCCAGCUGGCAAAGUAUUAAGUCCAUCAAUCAAAAGUCCUCUUUGGCUCACCGAAUUAACAUGGCCAAUUAAAGUUAAACACCUUGUUCUAACACUGUGGUGGUUUGAAAGAAAACGGCCUCCAAAGGGAGUGGCAUUAUUAGGAGGUGUGGCCUUGUUGGGGUGGGUGUGGCCUUGGUUGGAGUGGUGGUUUUAUUGGAGGAAGUGUCACCAUGGAGGUGGGGUUUGAGGUCUCAUAUCAGCUCAAACCACUCUUAGUGCCUCAGAUCACUUCCUGUUGCCUGCAGUCAAGAUGUAAGACACUUGGUCACUUCUCCAGCACCACAUCUGCCUGCACGCCACCAUGUUGCACCGUGAGGAUAAUAAACUAAGCCUCUGAAAAUGACACGAAGAGGAAGGUCAUCACCAUGUAGGCGCACUUCAAAAAGUUCCAUCCGCCCUUCUUCACAAGGACCCUGGCUGUGGUGCUGGCCGGGGGAGACUUCACUAAAGAAAGGGGGCAAGAAGAACUGAUAACACCCGGAAAUCCCUGGCCCUCUGGCACUCCAAACUGGUGUCCUUCCUCUGUGUAUCUCCUGGGUUGAAUUUUUGUUGUUGUUACACGAGAUGUUGUGGUCAUCACUCGGCUCCCAGACAAUCCCUCUGCGCUUUGACUUCUCCUCACACCUAGGCAUCACGAUGUAACCCCUCUACGUACAGCACCCAGCCAGUGCACUGGAAAAAAAGCCACUCAGGGAACCCCAUCCGCUCUGUGGGAACCUCACCGAAGUCUCUCUUUUUGUCGUUUUGACUCUUUGUUUAAUUUGAUUUGGUUUUUGAAACAGGAUGCCAAUGACUCAGGUGGCUUCCAACUCAAUAUGUAGGUGUCCAUCAAGAGCAGAAGAGGACAUCAGAUCCCCCUGGAGAUGGAGUUACAAGCAGAGAAGAAUCACCAGAUGUGGGUGGGAUCUGAACUCAGAUCCUCUUAAUCACUGAACCAUCU